CUGAGGCAUCCGACGGCAGCAGCUCCAGAGAUGAUUUCUCAUCUCAGAUCCAGCGCAGGAACGAUCAUAUACGAAAGCUGGAGGCCAAACUCUCAGAUACGAUGUGUUUGUGAGUGAAGCCAACGUAGCAACAGCAACCCACCAAUUGUGCCCGAAUUUUACCCAAACCACAGACAGUAUCUGCACCCGCAUAGGCACUGUCUGUAACUUAAGCAAGAAGUGAGCAAAACAUUAAAUCAGUAAAAGUUAUUGAAGUCACAGAAUAACGGCAUCCAUCAUACCUGUACAUUUUUCUAAUGUGUUACAGGGGGAACACAAAGCUUGGCUUGGCUACAGUUUUUACAAAAGUGUCAUCACAUCUGGGCUUAAUGCUAUAGAAACACAGAAACUCACCACAGUAUCCUGGCUCUAGGUUGUUGGUGGUUGAGAUAAACCUGCCGGAUCUAAAAUCUAUAAUUUUCACCUGCAUCAGAUCUGUAUUGAUCAAGAAGUUGUCGCAUAACAAGUCACCAUGGUUGACGUCGUGCCCAAUCCAGUAUUUGGCUGCUGUAACUGCUUGGGUCAUCAAACGACGUGCCAAGGUUUCACUCAGAAGACUUGAAUGACAUAGGGUGAAAUCAUGCAAGGUCAUGCAUGGCCGUGGUUAUUCCAUAGUCAUGAUGAGCUGAUCUUCCAGAUACCAGUCGUAUAUUUUAACAAUAUAAGGGCAUGUCUCUGAUUUAUGUAGCUCCUGAUGUACAGCCCUUCUUUGGGUAGACGCUCGCCCUUAGACUGGUGAAAAAGCACAAAAAAAGUGCAAAGAUGCCUAAAAAAGAGAGGAGAAUCAAACAAACAAAGAAGGAGCUGCUUGAGGCCUCAAAAGGCAGAGGAUCCAGUUUCAGCUGGUUUAUGAAAAGCACAACGGAUGGACGGAGAGGGGAAAGUAAAUCAGAUGAUGAGAUGGAGACAGAGACUGUAGAGAAAGAGGGAAAUUAUGACUCUAGCGACAGUAAAAACACUACAAGGAACAGUAAGCCAUGAGGCAGAGGCUGUAGAGAAAGAGGGAAGUGUUGAGACUCAGGCGACAGAAACAGUGCAGGAUGAAGCAAGCUAGGAGAAGGAGACAGAAGCCAGAGAGGGGCUAUUCUCAAACCUACUUGGACUUUAACACCCAACUGACCCUGCUCACAUCCUAAAAUUCAAUAUUAAGUACGAUGAGGCCUUCAUUCAAAUGUGUGAUAAUAUUGGACCCUGCAAACCAGUCCUAUCUUUUCACAAGAAUGUAGAGGGACAUUCAUUUCAGAAGAAGUGGUAUAAAAAUAACCCAUGGCUAGAAUAUUCUCCUAGCACUGAUGCCAUGUUUUGUUUCAGUUGCCGUGUUUUUAUGAAUUAUGGACAAUACAAGAGUCACACAAACUGGAAAGCUGUACGGUUAAAUCACUGGAGGAAGGCUUUAGAAAAAAUUAAAGAACACACUGCCUAAGAGUCUCACAUGUGUGGUAUGAUGAGGUGGAACUCAUUCAAGAAAAAAAUUCUGGAGGCAGCUUUUAAAGUAGGUGACGAUUUAAAAACCUUGCAGCUCUUGGUGUGCAGCAGCCACUGUAAGCAAUCACCCUUGGCAUCAACUGCAGCACUACAGUAGAGAUGACCUCCUGCCACAUCAGCAGGACAUCCCCAGAAAACACAUCAAAAUCAGCUGCUCCCUGAACACUGUUGAAGUACUUUGGAGCACAACCAACUCUACCCGCCCUGUUCUUAUGUUUUCUUUCAUUAUUUAAGUAUCUAUUUUUCUGUAACAUUCUAUUUUUGAUUAUAUGAAUGUUUGUCUAUUUUGGUUUUAUUUAAAAGAUUGCACAUUUAAUUUACAUUUGCAUUUGCACAUUUGCAAAUUAUUUAUUUCUUGUUUUGUGACAGUUUGUAUUCAGAAGUUUAAGAGUAAAGUCUUUUAUUUAAGUAUCGUAUUGAACAUUUUUAUGUAUUUAUUUUGUAUUAAUACAUAACCUCACUGUAUUAAUUUAUAAUGUAACAUAAUAGCGUGAGAUUUGUGUCAAUAAUCUUCAAGCACAGGUGACUUCGCGUGCUGGGAGGGGGGCCCCCAAAUCAAAUUCUGCUUUGGGCCCCCAAGAGGCUCGGGCCGGCACUGCUUAUGCUUGUGUAGCCUCUGACGGCUAUAGCAGUGGUGACUACGCCACCCCUUGGAACAGACUGGUAAGAGCAAGGGGAAUAUUUUACAGGAGGCACACACAGGCUUGGUCAACAAAGUAGAAAAGUACAAUCUUUAUUUUUGUUACAGUAAAAACAUUGAGUCGCUUUUGGAUUUCAAUAAAUAACACACAAAUUCAUCACUUGACAUAACACUAAGCCUAAGGGGGUGGGCCACCGAAGUACAAGUUACUCAGGCCUAAGUUUCCGUACCACACGUGAGCUAGGGCACACCACUUUAGAG